GAUUCCCCUAGUAACUGCGAGUGAAGCGGGAAAAGCUCAAAUUUAAAAUCUGGCGGUUUCACCGUCCGAGUUGUAAUCUGGAGAAGCGUUUUCCGUGUCGGACCGUGCACAAGUCUCUUGGAACAGAGCGUCAUAGAGGGUGAGAAUCCCGUUUAUGGCACGGACAACCGAUACUUUGUGAUACGUUUUCUAAGAGUCGAGUUGUUUGGGAAUGCAGCUCAAAAUGGGUGGUAAAUUCCAUCUAAAGCUAAAUAUAGGCGAGAGACCGAUAGCGAACAAGUACCGUGAGGGAAAGAUGAAAAGCACUUUGGAAAGAGAGUUAAACAGUACGUGAAAUUGUUGAAAGGGAAACGCUUGAAGUCAGUCGCGUCUUCUAGGACUCAGCCUUGCUUCGGUUAGGUGUACUUCCUGGUUUGACGGGUCAACAUCGAUUUUGAUCGACGGAUAAAGGAGAAGGGAACGUGGCACCUCCGGGUGUGUUAUAGCCCUCUUCGUAUACGUYGAUUGGGAUCGAGGACUGCAGCACGCCCUUGUGGCCGGGGGUUCGCCCUACGUAUCGUGCUUAGGAUGUUGACAUAAUGGCUUUAAGCGACCCGUCUUGAAACACGGACCAAGGAGUCUAACAUGCUCGCGAGUGUUAGGGUGGAAAACCCUUGCGCGUAAUGAAAGUGAAAGUUGGGACCUCUGCGAGGAGGGCACCGACGCCCGGCCCUGAAGUUUUCUGACGGUGCUGCGGUAGAGCGCGUAUGUUGGGACCCGAAAGAUGGUGAACUAUGCCUGAAUAGGGCGAAGCCAGAGGAAACUCUGGUGGAGGCUCGUAGCGAUUCUGACGUGCAAAUCGAUCGUCAAAUUUGGGUAUAGGGGCGAAAGACUAAUCGAACCAUCUAGUAGCUGGUUCCUGCCG
rnacentral:rRNA from 1 species